GCAGAGAGAGCGUAUUUGGACGAAGCAGAGGAUUAACAGUUUUAGCCGGUUGUCAUGGCUUGCGUCAAGAGAAUCUCAGUGCCAGGGAACUUUACUUCGGAUUAGCAUGGGGACCUACUGCUAUCUAGAUACAGGUGAUUAUUUUGCUGUCUUAUAAUGAAGUGGGACAUUGAGUAAAGGAAAUCGCCUUUUCACAAAUGUGAACAAAGUCUGGUGAUAUCUUUGUGAUGAAAUUCUGAACCCUGCACAGACACGUGUUUGAAGGAUGCUGCCUGGAUUAGUCCAUGAAGAUCUUUGUCAUGUGAAACUAAAUAAAAAAGUAAAGCUAAA